AUGGUAUAAAUGAAUGGCUAUAAAGCUCUCACGGUUUACUGCUGGUAAGGUUUGGUCUGUAAUUUUUAACCAAUCCAGAUCUUUUCAGUUGACAAAAGUGAGCGAAUAUGUAUCACGUUGCCUUGUGAGGCCGAAAAUAGAUUUUGCAAAUAUGCUUCUGGGUGCGGAGGAGGUUCAUACAAGGGAAGCAAAGACAAGGAGAGAAAAGAUGGACACAUUUUGGUUUCCGGGGCUGGAUUUGAGUCUCUCUCAUCUGCUUAUGCUCAUUAACCAGUCCAGAAAGGAAACUCUGAUCCUGUUCACAGAGUGCACGGCUUGUACUCAGAGCAGAGAAGGGAGCCUGGGAGCGACAGCGCUCCAGCUUCGCACAGCGCCCCGCGUGCCACACCAGCGGGUGCUUUUUCAGCUCCUUCACUUCUUACUGUGUCUCCCCUUGGUCAGCAAGCUCCACAAUGGCCAGAGGACGUCCCAGCUCCCCGGGGAGGGCGGCACAGUCACACCUGUGCUCCCCGCCCCAGCGCACCCUUCAUCUCCGCCAGCAAGACAUCUCUCAGCCCCUCUGGGAAACUUCCACAUGCUCCUUUAAUUCCAUUUUUUGAAGCCUAUGGCGCUUUAUUAGAAUUUGCUCUAAUCUCAUUUUAAUUCCUUUUGCAAACUCAAUUCCUUUUGCAAACUCUUUAGCUGCUUUAGAUCAACUAAUUCCUUUUGCAAGACCUCCACCUCUGUUUUAAGCCUUAAUUUAAAGUCUUUUGUCUUAAGAUCCUGGGUUCUGUGCGUGGCUGGGUUAUUUGCUCCAUCAGAUUCAGCACUGAUACCAGCUCACACUUGUUCUUUUGGAACUGGCUCCUGCUGCUAGCCAGACUUACCCCUGUCUAAUCAGGAUCAAAGUUUGGGGCCCCAUUAGAUGACCCAAUUAACAGGAAAAAGUGACAAAGGACUUAGGCAUUUUGCUGGUGAAACCCUACUUAUUUAUGCAGCAUGAACAGCCCUGGUUCCCUGAAAAGAAACAGCACUGAGGUUUCCAUCUUUAUAGCUCCAGGCACGCAUCAGCUAAGAUUUAAUCCCCCUAACUUUUCCGGGAUAACCCCCCUAGGAUCCUCCUCUUGAUUUCUUCCCCUUCCUCACUCUGUUUCUCCAGUUUUUAUUCUCUUUUUGCCCAAAUUGACAAAAACUCAUCAAACGGCUGCAUGGAGGGCUGUUCCCAGGCCGCACCAGGCACAGCGAGCAGACGUGCGCCGGACAAAAGGGGCAUAUUUUCGAGGCAGAAGAGGAACGGGUCAGCUCCUGCUGACCCCACAGCUCCCACGAGCACAGCCUGGGCUGAGUCACUUCUUCCCUUCGAAUUGCAUUCUCCCGCUUUGCAAACGAGGGCAUGACAAAGCCUUCCAGAAAAUUUUGCUUCGUUUCAGAUGGAAAUCGCAGACUUUGUAAAGAAAUGACCCAUUUUCACAGCCAGCCAGCUGCACCGGAGCAGGGACGGUCCGGCCGGGCAGCACGCGUUGCUUUGCAUGCACACGGAUUGUUCCUCGCUCUGAGGAUCUUGGUGUCUCUAAAAUCAGUAUUUCCAAUAAUAUUCCAUGUUGGCUCUGCUCCCCUCACGCUGGAAGCGGCUGCAGGGGAUUCAGCAGGGGAUUCAGGAGAACGUCAGGGGGAGAAGGGGGCUUGUUUUCCUGCUUGUCAGCCUUUGGAAGUGAAACCAGCAGUAAUGAGAAUUGCCUUGGCAGACAGAAAGAUAAAUUUUCACUGUUGGUAAGACCUUAAAAGACCAUUGUUUAUUUAAACUAACUCGAGGUCACAGAGAUGUCCAGCUUGAGCAAACUCAUUUUUUUCCCCCUCAAAACUGCACAUCUGAAGUUGCUCAAAAGGUGAAGCAGGAUGGUGUGCACAUGUGGCUGCAGCUGACAUGGGCGGGCAAGGGAAGAUGCUGCAGCCUGAAGGAAAGCAGCAGCGCUCUGCGACAGAGCACAGAUCCGGGCAGCGUGGGAAGGUCAGCCCUCCCUCCCAGACCUCGCACACAGCCAGAGGACUUCACCGUCACUUCUUCCAGCUUCGGAGAAGCCCAGCCCAGCACCCCUGCACACCCCGUGACACAAACCCGAGUCUCAGCUACAACCGCCUGCUUUGGUGCAUGAAUGGGGAUUUGGAAACCUUGCAGAGGGCAUGGAUGCGGUUUGCAUCCCCGCCCUGUCCUAUCCAGUGCUGCCUAGAGGCAUUAAAAACUCGUACAUGCCGCGUCCUAGCCUGGAAACCACAACUGCUUCAUUUUCCAGCUCUGGCAGCCCUGACCUCUCCCAGCCCCUGGUGCACUCCCGAGGCUCAUACUUCUCUUGAGAUCACACUGGGCUUGUGUUUUCCAUCCUCACGUGAUUAAUAAAUUAUGCUCUGCAGACA